rnacentral:lncRNA from 1 species
AACAUAAAACCGCAGUGCUUAGAAUUUUGUGUUCUAAUAGUGUUUAAACAUACACUAAUAUUUAUUCCUCUAAUAUAUAUCUUAACAAACUUAUGCAAAUUCUGCCAACAUUAUGAUGUACAAAUAAAAUCAUAUGUUAAGAAGGAACAUAAAAGUAUUUGUCUUCUUGAUUGUUAUGCUUACCCACAUUCACAAUAGAAAUCAACACAUUUCCUACGUUGAGGACGGAAACACAGAUUUUUUGGACAAUGCCACCAAUGUUUGCAAAGAAAAUAACCUGAUAUGUAAAAAAAGAACAUACAAAAUAUUACUAAACGGUAACGAAAUUGUGUGCGCAGAUAACUAAGAUUAUUUGAAAUGGCAUUAAAAAAGACUUGCCUCCAUAGAUUUCAACAAAUAGAGAAAGAAAGAUUAUCAAACCAUAAACAAUUUUGGGAAUUUGAGUCAUAUUUUUCUAAUUUGCAUGAAGAAAAUAGAAAUAUGUUUGAUCAUUUUUAAGUUUCAUACUUUGUUAAAUUUAAAUAUAGAAAUUUUACCCUUUAGAAAUUGCAAGAAGCCAUUUAUAAAAAUGGAAUUAUCAAUAAAUGCCCUAAAGUAUACCACUGUAUUGCAUUAUCUUUUUAAAUUUCUUUUUAUAUAGUUUUUAGAAUAUUUCUCUUUUAACCUUUGAUGAUAAAUAAGGGGAAAAAAGUCUCCUAAUAGAAAUAGUAAUGAUGAAACUAAAAAUAAUUGAUUGUAGAGAAAAUGCAUCAAAAGUCCCUUUGAUGUUAAGUGAACAUUUAUUUUUAAUUAAAAUUUUUAUAGGAUGAUUUUUUGUUCAAACAAUUAUAUGAUCAAAGCUAGUAUCGAAGAUGUAAUGUAUGAGUGUGAAUUGUGUUCAAUUAAAAAACUUUUUGCUAUAUUUUAUUUUUUGAGGGUA